UGAACUGAAUGUAAUGAUUCAAUCUCCUACUGGAUGGCACAGGAUACAAAGGGUAAACUCCUAGAAAGUUAACAAUCUGGUAACUUCCCAGAACCUGUCUAAUCCUAACUUCUCGAACAGGCAGGUGGAGUCCUAACUUCUCAAACAGGCAGGUGGAGUCUGGUCUGAUACCUUUAGCACUACUAAGAAAAGCUGUAAAAGGUACAGCCCUGUUGGCAUUUCCCUCGGUGCUUCCCGGGUUCCAGCGGCACAUACUCCGCAGGUGUUAAGCAGUAAAGGAGGGGGAGAAAGGGACUCAAACAGCGUUCCAACAAACUCAACCACAUUUCAACCCAGCCAGCGCAGUAAGAUGCAGCCUGACGAGGCCUACCCCGCAGAGCAGAACCUCCCACCCGCAGAAGUGCCAGCAGCCAGUGUAAUGAACGCUUCCGUCAACAACACACAUUCCCCUUCCCACAGCAGAUCUGCUCGACACCGGGGCUUGGACCAGGCCGCACUGCACCAACCUAAGAACCAUUCUCAGACCCACAAAGGCCAAGAACUGCUGGAGACUGCCGUUCCUCUGCGCUUGGUGUGGGAGAGCAACAUCUCCCACCAAUGGAAAGAAAGAAAAGAAAACAACAACAAAAAACCCCCCAAAACAAAAAAACCAAAAAACAGUGAAGAGGAGAAAAAAACCAGGCCUGGGCGAGACCGCUGGAGAAAUAAACCUCGUUUCUCUGCAAUGGGGAGCAACAGCAUUUCCUGCCCUCUUUCUGAACAGACGCACUCGACUUCAUUCCCUCCUGAGAUCCUCAAAGGAGAUUAAAAAACCACCUUACGGUCCGAUUCAUUCAUAUUUGGGCCUCGGUCCUCGACCGACCCACUCCUGAAACCUCUGGCAUUGUGAAGGAAGGCGCCCCCAGAUCGGCUGUAGGACGAGAAGCGAGGGCCAGUCCAGGGGCCCAGUUACUAAGAUCAAGCAGCUCGGGCAAGAAGAAAAUCCCCAUGAGGCCUGACAGUAAAGUCUGAGUCAGCAGCAAGGGCACGGACCCGGGUCCGGCCAAGCAGGGCUCCAGGGCAGGCCUGCGGAGGUGACACUUCCCUGCUUGCUCCCCGGGCAGGUCCGGGAGGCGGCGUCCGGCCGCGCCGGCCCGCAUCCAGGAAGCCGGGCCGGAGGGCCGACGCGGGGACGCGGCCGGCGGGAGGCCUGGCCGGCAGCACCACCGCCCCCCCGCGCCGCUCCCGCCUCCUUCCCCACUCCCACUUCCCGGCCCUCCAGCCCGGGCCCGUGAGGUAAGGUCGGGGGCGGCGACGCGGGUCUCGGCCACUGACCACACAUUUCUUGCCCAGGAAGGUGAAGAGGGACUCGUUCUCCUGCGGGAGGUCUGGAGCGAGAAGGCGUCUGGUCUCCGUGGCCGAGCUGCCCGUCUCUCUUCUGCGGACGCACACCUUUGCGGAGCUUCAGUGCAGACCCAGGUCAUCCUCCGCAGACGAGGUCGCAUUUCUGGGGCGCGACAGCCGGACGUUCACACCGCUUGUCAGAAAGAGCUCUCUGAAAGUGCACCUCAGGUGGGACUGGAACCCAGUUGCACCUCAGAUGGAACUUGAACUCACAAUCUUCCAACUGAAAACCACAACUCAUCUCAGGACUUAAUGAAGCUCAGGUUCUUUAUGCCUCGGCACAGAAGGAAUUCAGUGAGAGGCAAAGUGAUAGGGUCGUCUGUGUGGCAAGCCCUCCUUCAACAACCGGGUCAAGUAUUUACCACUUUGGUGAAGGCUGAAUUUCCCAGGCAGUGUCCUCUGCCUCUUGCUCUCCCAAAGGAAGAGAAGAAUGAUCAUCAGUGGCCAAUGGCAGUUGCAGAACCAACACCAAGAACCACCUUCACACUCAGGAGAGAACACUAAGCUUCUUCCUCAGAGUUUCGAGUGCUCUACACAUUCAGAGAAACUUCUCUCAUAAUGAACUAUAGAAAUGAUCCCUGAAAACAUAGUCUUUGAAAUUUCUAUUUUCGGUGCAGGCAGUUCCUGACUUACGGUGGUUCCACGAUUUUUCAGCUUUACAAUGAUGCAAAAACAAUAUUCAUCCAGUGGAAACCGUACUUCAAGUUUUGAAUUUUGAUCUUUUCCUGGGCUAGUGAUUUGCCCUAAGAUACUCUCUUGUGAUGCUGGGCAGUGGCAAUGCUGCAGCUCCCAGUCAGCCACACAAUCACGCGGGUAAACAACUCGUUCACUUACAACUAUUCUGUGCCCAUACAGCCAUUCUGUUUUUUUUCUUUUCCUUACAGUAUUCAAUAAAUUACAUGUGACAUUUCAACAUUUUAUUACAAAACAGUCUUUGUGUUAGAUGAUUUUGCCCAACAGUAGGCUAAUGUACGUGUUCUGAGCACAUUUAAGGGAGGCUGCACUAAGCUGUGAUGUACAGUAGGUUAGGUAGAUUAAUGCAGUUUCAACUUAACAAUAUUUUCAACUUAUAAUGGGCUUAUUGAGACUUAAUCCACCAUAAACUGAGAAAGAUCUGUGUUAUACUUCUCUUGAGUCUAUAUAGGGCAAUUGCUACAUAUGUAGGGUGUACAUAUAAUUUAUUUUCUAAAUUGGAGCAAAACCGAGAAAUAAAAGGUGCACUAGGCCCUAGGACAGUGUGUGUAAUUGUGACUGUCCCCAGCACACCAAAAUAUCUCGUCACCCUAUAGACAUGUAUUGGAGAAGCACAUUUCUUUCCGUGGUUUUUGUGUCCUGAAGGGAAAGAAAUUUCCAGAAUAGUAUGGUAGAAACACUUUUAUCUUUUCUCUGCCUCUUCCCUUAUCUCUCCCCAGAAGAGGAGGAGAUUGAUGAGUCUGGGAGACAACUGAGCACGUAAUCUCCAAGUACAACCACUGCCAAAGCAACCAA